rnacentral:piRNA from 1 species
UGGAACCCCAGCUCCAGAGGAUCUGACAC